UACGUAGGGUGCAAGCGUUGUCCGGAAUUAUUGGGCGUAAAGCGCUCGUAGGCGGUCUGUCGCGUCGGAUGUGAAAACCCAGGGCUCAACCCUGGGCCUGCAUUCGAUACGGGCAGACUAGAGUUCGGUAGGGGAGACUGGAAUUCCUGGUGUAGCGGUGAAAUGCGCAGAUAUCAGGAGGAACACCGGUGGCGAAGGCGGGUCUCUGGGCCGAAACUGACGCUGAGGAGCGAAAGCGUGGGGAGCAAACAGG
rnacentral:rRNA from 1 species